GCUUGGGAACAUGCCUUGAGGUGGGGGACAACAGUUGGAAACGACUGCUAAUACCGCAUAAUGUCUACGGACCAAAGGGGGCUUCGGCUCUCGCCUUUAGAUUGGCCCAAGUGGGAUUAGCUAGUUGGUGAGGUAAUGGCUCACCAAGGCGACGAUCCCUAGCUGGUUUGAGAGGAUGAUCAGCCACACUGGGACUGAGACACGGCCCAGACUCCUACGGGAGGCAGCAGUGGGGAAUAUUGCACAAUGGGCGCAAGCCUGAUGCAGCCAUGCCGCGUGUGUGAAGAAGGCCUUCGGGUUGUAAAGCACUUUCAGUCAGGAGGAAAGCGUGGUGGUUAAUACCCAUCAUGUGUGACGUUACUGACAGAAGAAGCACCGGCUAACUCCGUGCCAGCAGCCGCGGUAAUACGGAGGGUGCGAGCGUUAAUCGGAAUUACUGGGCGUAAA
rnacentral:rRNA from 1 species